rnacentral:lncRNA from 1 species
UAACUCUACCUCUUCAAAGGAGGAUCUCCCUACAAAAGUAGAAGGAUUUAGUCUUUUAUACCUUUCUAUGUAGCCUGGGUCCAUCAUGAGAGGAGUUGGGUCCCGUGGAUAAGGGACAGGCUGGGCUGAGGAUGGACUGGAUGGCCCUACAGUGGUACUUGAUGAUACGGUGAAGGAACUAGAUUAUACUGUGGUGGUGUCGGGUGACGCGGUGGCUGGGGCACCGAAUCAUACUGUGGUGGUACCGGGUGGUACUGUAGAGGAGUAAAGUCAUAUCGAGGUGGCUCGGGAUCUUACUACUACAGGGAUGGCUCAACUCGUGGCAACGGGGGAGGGUCAUGUAGCUCCCUUCUUUCCUCUCGGGCUUGCUGGGUAGCAAUAAGUCUUUCCACCAUCUCAAAUAAGUGGUCAACAUUCUCUCUAAGCAAACCCUCCCGGGCUGCUCAGUUUAGUAGGGGUCUUCCUCUCCUCAUAUAUCUGUACCUGCAUUUCACAAAGAAAUGUUGAGUGACAAUUCAUUGUUUUCAGUGUUUCC